UGGGGAAUCUUGGACAAUGGGCGCAAGCCUGAUCCAGCCAUGCCGCGUGAGUGAUGAAGGCCCUAGGGUCGUAAAGCUCUUUCACCCGUGAAGAUAAUGACGGUAGCGGGAGAAGAAACCCCGGCUAACUCCGUGCCAGCAGCCGCGGUAAUACGGAGGGGGUUAGCGUUGUUCAGAAUUACUGGGCGUAAAGCGCGCGUAGGCGGAUCGGAAAGUUGGGGGUGAAAUCCCGGGGCUCAACCCCGGAACUGCCUCCAAAACUGUCGGUCUUGAGUUCGAGAGAGGUGAGUGGAAUUCCGAGUGUAGAGGUGAAAUUCGUAGAUAUUCGGAGGAACACCAGUGGCGAAGGCGGCUCACUGGCUCGAUACUGACGCUGAGGUGCGAAAGCGUGGGGAGCAAACA
rnacentral:rRNA from 1 species